GAUGAACGCUGGCGGCGUGCUUAACACAUGCAAGUCGAACGGAAAGACGCUGCGCUUGCGUCUCGCUCGUUAGCCGCAGAGGUGUGUAUCACACGAGUAACCCCUCCUUGACUUACGGAUAACUUCACGAAACUCCGGCUAAUAUCCCAUAUAAUCUUUUGCAGCAUGUUGUUCAAUGGAAAGUUUCGGCGGUUGGGGAUGGACUCGCGGCUUCUCCGCUGGUUGGUGGGGUAGUGGCUUACCAAGGCUUUGACGGGUAGCCGGCCUGGGAGGGUGACCGGCCACAAUGGGACUGAGAUACGGCCCAGACUCCUACGGGAGGCAGCAGUGGGGAAUAUUGCACAAUGGGCGGAAGCCCGAUGCAGAAACGCCGCGUGCGGGAUGACGGCCUUCGGGUUGUAAACCGCUUUCGCCUGUGACGAAGCGUGAGUGACGGUAAUGGGUAAAGAAGCACCGGCUAACUACGUG
rnacentral:rRNA from 1 species